UAAAGAUCCGUCGGAUGAGGAUAGGCUCGCGUGACAUUAGCUUGACGGCGGGGUAACGGCCCACCGUGGCGACGAUGUCUAGGGGUUCUGAGAGGAAGGUCCCCCACACUGGAACUGAGACACGGUCCAGACUCCUACGGGAGGCAGCAGUGAGGAGUAUUGGUCAAUGGCCGGAAGGCUGAACCAGCCAUGCCGCGUGAAGGUCAGUGCCCUAUGGGCGUUAAACUUCUUUUGUGCGGGAGCAAUAAGGUCCACGUGUGGACCGACGAGAGUACCGUACGAAUAAGCAUCGGCUAACUCCGUGCCAGCAGCCGCGGUAAUACGGGGGAUGCAAGCGUUAUCCGGAUUUAUUGGGUUUAAAGGGUGCGUAGGCUGUGAGGUAAGUCAGCGGUGAAAUGCCCCCGCUCAACGGGGUGAAGUGCCAUUGAUACUGCCUUGCUGGAAUGCGGAUGCCGUGGGAGGAAUGUGUGGUGUAGCGGUGAAAUGCAUAGAUAUCACACAGAACACCGAUUGCGAAGGCAUCUCACGAAUCCGCUAUUGACGCUGAUGCACGAAAGCGUGGGUAUCAAACAGGAUUAGAUACCCUGGUAGUCCACGCUGUAAACGAUGAUGACUAACCGUCGGCGAUACACAGUCG
rnacentral:rRNA from 1 species